UCCCUAUCCCUGCAGGAAGCAGAGCCCAUCCAGAUAGGUGGCUGCAGAUCCUCAUCCCUGGGUUGUAUCUCCUUUCCAGGGACACUUUUCCCCACUCAUCUCACGCCUUAAAACCUACAGACCGUGGGGUUGUCCCUCGGUGACCCACGCAUCCCGAUGCUACCCUGCUGGCCAGCAUGCAGUGAUGGGCUGUUGGUCGUUGGUGAAGCCUUAAUGCCCAGAGCUAAAUUCCCAGGUGGGCCGCAUCCCUGCUCCCCCUUCACGAGGCAUGGGGAGAACACACCUUGGUCCUGCCUUGUGCCAAGUGCUUCAACGCAGAGUUGGUUCCUCCUAGCAUCCAAAAGCAGCAAGAGGUGGCUUGGAGGAGAUCCCUCUGACUUUCAGCUCUUUCCAAUGCACUCCGACCUGGUUUUCCCACUGCCAUCUGCAUCGCUGCCCUUUGGGGUCGGGUCAGGUUGUGACCCACUGCGGUCCCCUCUGGUGGUGUGGGUUCCUCCAGGAAAGUUUGUGGGGAUGUCUGGGAUGGACGCAGUGUUAUCAGCAGCCAUUCCCCCACGCUGUGCUCCGGUGAAGCCUUCUGACCGGGGUGUGUGGGGCUGAUUGGAAACCCUGCACAUUUAUCCAACCCAUCCCCCAAAGCAGCUGUUGGCCUGAAAGGUGGCUGCUCCUCUCACGCUCCGCAUUCCACCUUUCCUGCCAAGAGUGGGGGAGAGAGGGAAUAAAAGCUGCUCUCCUAUCAUUAGCAGAUGAUUGAAAAACCUUUCAGCUCCCUGAGCCAAGCGUGGGAGAUAGCAGUCCUGCAAGACAGGAGCCGAGAAGCCCACAGCAGCAGAUGGUGGGAAGAGGCAGGGACUCACCUCCCUCUGCAGAGCCAAAAGGGUUCGAUGUGGUGCUUGGGGUGAAUGCCACACCUGCAGCAAGCGAGCAGAAGUGCAGCAGGAGCGGGGCAAAAUUGGCAUUUACCCACACACCUCUGUUCCCAUAGUGAACAUAGAAAUGUGUGGACUGCUUUAGCUUGAAUCUAUCUUUUCAUUGCUCUGAGUGCAACCAGCUGCACUCCUGCCCGGCUCCUGGCCGCAUUUACUCUCACAGUGCAAAGGGAAGAGCUGGUGGCAGGGGAUGCACGGAGCUGCCUUGGGAAGAUCGGCAGGGUUGGGCUGCUCUGGCUGUUUGCACCACCUGGGACCUGCAAUCUGUGAGGAAGGAAACUGGCCUCAGGAGCAGGAAAAAAGGGCAAUCUCCCAGCACUUCCCAAAAGUUUUCCCACCCUGUGAAAAAAAAAGGCAGUGGUGCACAUGUGCACUCGUGUCCUGGGACUGCUGCAACUCCUCCUGCUGCCCUGACAUGCAGGAGGGGAGAAAAUGGCAGGGAGAUCUGCAAGGCAGGAGGGAACGAGCCUUGCAAAGAGGAAUGACCUCUGUGAAGCACUCCAAGGAGCAGCAGCUUGGAAAGGAGGAUCUCAGCUACAGAUGUGUGCGCGAUGGAUCCAAGAGCAGUCAGCUGCCAUCCAGCUCGGAUGGGCGGCUGUUAUCGGCGCACGCGCUCCGUUCCAUGACAGCUCCUUUUCAGACACUCCGUUCAGACAGACUGAAAAAGAAAUUCCUCUUGUCUUCAUUUUCCAAAUCCAGAUUCAAGUCAAUGCUUUGUCCUUUUUGUGGCCGUGAAAUAUUUUGGCAUUUAGGGGGCUCCUUCCCCAGCCUGGGAGCUUUGCUUUGAUUGCACUGAUAGGGCAGUUGGACCGGAUGGCCUUUAAGGGUCCUUUCCAACUCAAACGACGCUGUGAUUCUGUGACCUCCUUCAGCCUUACCCAUUGCUGCAAGCGGAGCUCCAGGGGUUCUGCCAACAUCACAAGAACUGAAGGAGGGAGGGAGAAAGGAGGAAGAGAAAUCAGAGUAGCUCAAACUAGAACCCAUGAGCUCCAAAGGGUUGGCAGCAGGGUGUUCAUCAUCCCUGCAGCCUGCAAGAUGUAAGGAGUAUGUAGGAGCAGAGCCAGGAUUUGCUCUGCAUGUGCUUUACACAAGAGUGAAAACCCAAUCUGCUUAAAAACAUGAGGAGCUAGAACUGCUGCUGACGUGAGCCCAGGCUGUGACACAGCUUUGGUUAAGGAAAAUCACCCAGGUGAGCGCAGGGCACGCAGCCGCCCUGCUCGGGGUGGUAGGAGGAGGUUUGUGUGUUUGCAGUCUAGGUUACACCGCCGUUCCAUUUAUCAGGGAGACGCUGUGGUUUCUUGUGCUUUAUUAUAUUUAAUGGGGUAUUAUUUUUUUUCUUGCUGGCUGUUUGUUUGAGAAAUUUCUCCCAGGGGAGCUCCUUUUUGAUCGCUUGGUUGCCAGACAGAAUGACAUCAGACAGACGCUCAGAGGAAUGAUAAAAAG
ensembl:lncRNA